rnacentral:rRNA from 1 species
GAUGAACGCUGGCGGCGUGCCUAAUACAUGCAAGUCGAGCGAACAGACGAGGAGCUUGCUCCUCUGACGUUAGCGGCGGACGGGUGAGUAACACGUGGAUAACCUACCUAUAAGACUGGGAUAACUUCGGGAAACCGGAGAUAAUACCGGAUAAUAUAUUGAACCGCAUGGUUCAAUAGUGAAAGACGGUUUUGCUGUCACUUAUAGAUGGAUCCGCGCCGCAUUAGCUAGUUGGUAAGGUACAGGCUUAUCAAGGCAACGAUGCGUAGCCGACCUGAUAGGGUGAGCGGCCACACUGGAACGGAGACACGGUCCAGACGCCUACGGGAGGGAGCAGUAGGGAAACUUCCGCAAUGGGCGAAAGCCUGACGGAGCAACGCCGCGUGAGUGAUGAAGGUCUUCGGGUCGGAAAACACUGUUAUUAGGGAAGAACAAGUGUGUGAGUAACUAUGCGCGUCUUGACGGUACCUAAUCAAAGAGGCACGGCUAACUACGUG